UAGAAAGGAGGAAACAGUAAUAUCUAGGUUGCGUUUUGGACAUACAAGGUUAAACAGUAAUUUAUUUAAAAUAGGAAAACAUCGAAAUGGAAGUUGUGAUUUUUGUGGUCAAGAAGAGACGGGGGGUGUUUAAAGUUAGCGUCCCGAUCCACACUCCAUUCCAGUAGAUGGCGGUAAUGCACAUCUAAAAGUUGCUUGCCAACCGCCAUAAAAAA